GAUGAACGCUAGCGGCAGGCUUAACACAUGCAAGUCGAGGGGCAGCAUACCCAGCAAUGGGUGAUGGCGACCGGCGCAAGGGUGCGUAACGCGUGAGCAACAUGCCCGUAUCAGGGGGAUAAUCCAGGGAAACUUGGUCUAAAAACCGCAUAAUAAUCACAGGAGGCAUCUUUUGGGAUUUAAAAUUACGAUGGAUACGGAUUGGCUCGCGUGACAUUAGCUGGAUGGUAGGGUAACGGCCUACCAUGGCAACGAUGUCUAGGGGGUUCUGAGAGGAAGGUCCCCCACACUGGAACUGAGACACGGUCCAGACUCCUACGGGAGGCAGCAGUGAGGAAUAUUGGACAAUGGAUGGAAAUCUGAUCCAGCCAUGCCGCGUGCAGGAAGACGGCCCUAUGGGUUGUAAACUGCUUUUGUAUGGGAGCAAUAAGGGCUACGUGUAGUCUGAUGAGAGUACCAUACGAAUAAGGACCGGCU
rnacentral:rRNA from 1 species